rnacentral:lncRNA from 1 species
CUGGCUUAUGGCUUAUGGUGAGCCACUUGUACUCAGAUCCAACUUACGUUACCAAGUCUAAGGUUAAGUGAAUUAAUCAAACAAUCCGUAUACAAUGAUAUAAAUCGUACCACCCAAAUCGUACCAAUUCCAGUAACUAAAUCCAUCCCACCAAUCAGCACUGGUCAACAUACGACUAGACCAUACCACCCGUACCUAAGCGUAUGACUUAUUCCCC